AUCAAACGGUAGAAGCAGAAAAGUACACACAAGAAAAAUAUCUGCACUAGAUCCUAAAGACUAGAGAAGACCGCUUUCUUAAUGUACAGUGUCCUUUGUCGUAAGAUUUGGUGCCAUAUGU
rnacentral:snoRNA from 1 species